rnacentral:lncRNA from 1 species
GGGGAACUGCCUAUAUUGUGGUAUUUAACAUUCACAUUAUGGCUGCGAUGAUCUGUGUGUUUGCCUAUUGUCAGCCUUCACCUCUGACAUUUCCACAAACCUGUUUGAUUCGACUUUUUGUUUCUGCAGGAUGUGUGUGUGUCGACUGCGUCCCACGCUGAUAAAAAGCGUUUCAGAUGAGAUGCAAAGUCACUUCCUACAGAAAGCUCAUCGUGCUCGUCAGUGAUCCUGCGCACAUUUACAGCCUUCACGCAGGCGUUUCACAGUCAAUCUCCACCUGAGUGAGUGAGUGACGCGUCGGUGAGCUGAGCAGCUCUGAGCGCGCUGGACGCAGCGGGGCCGAGUGCUGAAGGCUGCAGAUGAAGAGUCACAUAUGUGAACCCAUGCGACAACAGGAAACCAGAGAAGGAGAGCAGAACGGAGCUGAACUGAAACCUGGCGCGUUCAUGAGGCUUGACUCCAUCAUGCACCCCGGCUGUCUGUGAACUGAGGCAAAUGGAGAGCCCGUCCUCCACAGUGAGGCGGCGAGCCUGGAUCAACAGCAGCCGGCAGUGGCCCACGCUGGAGGAGCACGACGGGGAGCCUUGCAGCCUCCCAUCGGCCUCCAUAGCAGACGAUGAUGUUUUUUCUGAAGGAUGCAUCUCAGGAAAGAUUGAGACUUGGCUUAAUGGUUGUGGGUAAGUAAACCUGCUUUGCUGCUUGUUUUUGUUGUCAGAUGAUUUUUGAAGGUUGUCAGUCAGUCACUGGAAACAAGCAGCAGUAACCAGACAGUGGAAACUCUCUGAAGUCAGGUGUUCCAGGAAGACAUAGCAACAAGAUAUAGCCACAGUGCUGCUUUUCACCAUAACAGCCACAGAUGAUGAAUUUUUAUUGUUCCAUCGGAAAAAAAUGAACUUUGUUGAGUCUUCAAAACAAUAAAAUGAUCACUGUGAGCUGAUUUUCUUCUCA